GGCCCUACUUUCACUUUCGAUUUUACACAGUUGCGUACAACGCAGAUCUAACAUGUCCACACAAAUAUUCAUAUCUAGAUCUAUACAUACCUGAUUAAUAAAAGACUUGAAUUUUCACGUUUCCCACAUAAAAUUGUGUAUAGUGAACAGAGCUUUGCCAUACAAGUCCGGAUGUUUUGAUCUUAAGGUACAAUGGACGCCACUACCACGCCAUCAACUGCAGCAACAGCAUCACACACAGAUGUGAAGGAAAUUGCUAAGCUUAAAGAAGAAAAUGAUCGAUCCAAACGAGUAAUACAGCUCCAAGGUGAUGAAAUUAAAAAAGUCAAAAACGAAAACUCUCAACUUCAACAAUUUCUCAGUGACACUGAAGCAAAGAAUAGAGAGCUUGCGUUAAAUGCAAGUAUGUCGCUUUUUAAAACUAUUUAACCUAUCUAUCUUUAUCUAUCUAUCUAUCUAUCUAUCUAUCUAUCUA
rnacentral:sRNA from 1 species